UAGCUUAUGUCAAGUAUUUAAAGAUAAAUAAGCUUGGAUCAAAGUUCGAUAAAUACUUGGUUGUAGGGUAUCCAAAGGAAACUAAAGGGUACUACUUCUAUCUUUCUAAAGAACAAAAGAUGUUCAUAAGCAACAGGACAGUCUUUUAGGAAAAGUUCUUUGGAGAAGGAGCUAAUACCAAUAAAAUUGAACUUGAUGAAGUUCAUGAGAUAGAAGAACCGACACAUACAGAAUCGGAUUUGAUUGGAGAAUCAAAUUUGGAGCCUGUAGAGGCACCAUUAAGGAGAUCCGGUAGAGUAUCACACCAAUCGGAUAGAUACUAUGAUUUUUUGAUCUGGGAUGGUGAUCCUAUCGAACUCGAUAAGAAUGAUGAGGAUCUGAUCACCUAUAUGGAUGUUAUGUAAAGGCCCGACUCUCGAAAGUGGCUUGAAGCCAAAAAAUCCGAGAUAGAGUCCAUGGAGAUCAAUGAUGUAUGGAUACUAGUUGAUUUACCCGAAAGAAUAAAAUUCAUAAGGUGCAAGUGGAUUUGUCAAAGAAAAAGAGGAACAGAUGGAAAGGUAGAGACCUAUAAAGCCCAUCUAGUUGUCAAGGAUUACCGUCAGUAUUAUGGUAUUGAUUAUGACGAGACAUUCUCUCUUAUGAUAAUGCUCAAGUCCAUCCGGAUUAUGCUUGCGAUAGCUGCAUAUUUAUAUUAUGAGAUCUGGCAAAUGGAUAUCAAAACCGCUUUCCUUAACAAGGAGUUGGAAGCAGAGGUGUAUAUGAUACAACUUAAAGGGUUCACAUCCACAGACGAAUCUAAGGUGUGCAAACUAAAUAGGUCUAUCUAUGGACUGAAGCAGGUAUCUAGGAGUUAGAACAUGCAUUUUGAUAAGAUGAUCAAAACAUAUGACUUCAUUAGGAAUGGAGAAGGGCCUUGUGUCUAUAAAUAGACUAACAAUUCUGUAAUCAUCUUCCUUAUACUGUAUGUAGAUGAUAUACUAUUAAUAGAAAAUGACAUUCCAGCUUUGCAGAGUGUAAAACUAUGACUCUCAUCAUAGUUCUCCAUGAAAAAUUUGGGAGAAGUAUACUACAUACUAGAGAUGAAGAUCUAUAGAGAUAGAUCUAAAAGAUUGCUUAGAUUGUCUUAAUCUAUGUACAUCGAUACCAUGUUGAAAUGGUUCAAUAUAGAGAAUUUCAAUAAAGGCUAUCUUUUGAUAGGUCAUGGGAUUACUCUCUCCAAGAAAGAUUAUCUGAUAACUCCUCAAGAGAGAGAGCGUAUGAGUAGAAUCUUAUAUACUUCAGCAGUGGGGUCUAUCAUAUACGUCAUGAUAUGUAUGAGACUGGAUAUGGCCUAUUCAUUAGGGAUAGUUAGAAGAUAUUAUUCUGAUCCGGAUGAAAAUUAUUGGAAGGUUGUUAAGACAAUCUUUAAGUAUUUAAAAAAUAUCAAGGACUAAUGGCUUAUAUAUGAGGAUACUGACUUGAAACUUUUGGGAUAUAUUGAUUUCAAUUUUCAAUCAAACCAUGAUAACAACAGAAGCAUGUCGGACUAUAUAUUUACUUUCAAUGAAGGAGUGAUUUGCUGGAAGAGUUUCAAGCAACAUACUAUAGCCAAUUCUAUAUGCAAAGUAGAAUACAUUGCUAUAUCCGAUGCUGCAAAGGAGACGGUAUGGUUGUAAAAGUUUGUCACCAAGCUUGGAGUUACAUCCUCUGUUGAUGACCCUGUUCUGUUGUAUUAUGACAGCACUGAAGCCAUAGCUCAAACGAAAGAACCAAAGUCACACCAGCAUAUCAACUACAUUCUGUGUCGCUAUCAUUUUAUACAUGAGAUCAUGGAUCGAGAUGACGUCAAGCUUCAGAAGAUCGAUAGAAAUGAGAGCAUGGCUGACCCCUUCACUAAAGCUCUCAGGAUUAAAGAGUUCGAUGAUCAUAAGUGGAAGAUGGGUAUAAGAUACUGCCUCGAUUGGCUUUAGUUCAAGUGAGAGUUGUUGAAAAAUAUAUCAUAAAGCUAAUUAUUUGAUGAUUAUACUCAUUCUAUAAUAUUUAUAUGAAUUAUUAAUCAAUGAAUAAAAGUUAUUUUGGUAUCAUUCAUCACAAAGAUACAUCUUUCUUACUAGAACUCUUGUAUUGUGAUGAAGUCCUUAGAACUAUAAAGUAAUCAAUAAAAAAAAUUUAUCAUAUAGUUCUUAAACAUGUUCAUGACUAAAUGAUACAUCAUUAAAGGACGAUGAUGUUUAUCGAGUGAAGGUCAUUGUGUGCCAUAUGGAUUGAUUGUCCUCUUAAUCAAGAAAUGUGGAGACACUGGUAUGGCAUACAUAGGAGAUAUAGGAGUACAUCAUCACAGAAUAAGUGACUCACUUGUUGAGCACUCUGCUGUCAAGAGUAACUUGUGAAGUGUAUAAACAUAAGUGUCUCUCAGACCUGAGAUCACAAUAGUGACUUACAAAUAACUCACUAUGCUUUAGCACCAAACUAUUUGCAUUUCUAAUGCAGUAACGAAAGGCUACUGAGUAUCGUCAAGUACUUACAAAGUCUGUGUGUGGAUCAAGAUGAAAUUGAUUUCCUCCCGGAUUAUAGGAGCUGAUGCAUCAUUGUAUUUCAAUUUAGUAAAAUCAUGGCCAGAGUAAUCCUAUGAUAGAUUUGAAAGGUUGGAAUACAAUAUGGAUGAUCCUUCAGGGUUGACAGUUUAACCCAAGACCGUCCUAGAGCAUUCAAGAUCAAAGGGAUGAAUUAUGGAGUAACCAUAUGCAUAGAUUCUUCAAUAUUAUCUUAUGUUAAUUUGAUCUAUCUGAACAUCAAAAAUUAUUGCUAGAUGGUAACUUUGAUUAGUACAGAAAAUGAUUUCUAUGCUACCGACUUAGUGUUCGAAUAUAUGGAGUCAUGCAUAAAGUCAAGUGAUGUAGGAAAGAAUGGAUCUAAGUCUAUAUGUUUAAUUUGAAAGUACAUGACUUGAUUGAAUAAAUAGAUUAACUUUAUUGAGAAUUAAGUUAUGGAUCAUACGGAAUUAAACAGUUGUCUAUGUCUGGCUAGCACUAGACAUGAGGUUCAGGUUCAAUUUUAGAGAUGAACGAGAUUUGAUCUUUGAUCCAAGGAGUCUAUGAGAGAUUGAAUUUAAGUGCUAAUUAAAUUCAGAUUAGAUCUAAUUUAAUUAGACUUAAUUAGGUUCAUAAAUCUAAGUUAGACUUGGUCUUAAAUCUUAAAUAGUUUGGAAUUGACAGCCUAAUCAAAAUUAUUUUGAAUCAGAUUCGAAUUAGAUUCGAAUUGACCUAUAUUUAGAUGAGAUCCUUAGAAUCUACUUUUACUUAGACUCUCUCUCCUUCAUGGUCGACCAACAUUAGGUGGGGUGCUGGUUAUUACCGCCCCACAUGGGGUGUGGGCAUGGGUGCAAGUAGGUGCCUAGUGAGAUGCCAAUCCUUUCUCUCUUAGGACUCCUUUGAUAAGAUGUAGAUUAAUUCAAAGCUUAUUUGAAUUAAAAAUUUUAGUCUUACGGAUUAUGAAAAAUCAUCUAUAAAUAAGGGAGACCUCUAACUAUCAUGGCAUAACAAUUGGAUUGUGUGCUAAGGAGAGAAAGAGAGAGAGGAUGCAUGAAGGUGUAGUGGGCAUCCCCUUCUCCUUGGCAUCACCCACCCUUGGCAUCCCACCUUCCCACGGCGUGAAGGCUCUCUUGGGUGUCCUUCUUGCUGGUGUGAGGCAUCACACCAAAGGCUCUCUCUCUUCUCUUUGGUGCCUUGUGAAGGUGCUUCAAUCUGAGACUUCAUCCCAUUUUUCUGUGAAGUUUGACAUAUGUGCGAAAUAGAGGGUUUGUGGAUUCAGACCUACGCAAGGUUUUGGAUUUAGAAUCUUUGAGAUUUGAUUUCUAUUCCGCUGCAUAUCAGGUAAAAAUCUAAUCUUUAAUUAAGUGAUUUAUAGAAAAUAAUUAGAUGCACCUUGGCUAUCCAUUGUGUUUUUGAUAGAAACAGACUUUCAUUCCUUACAUUUCUCACCCUAAGAAAUUUGAAAAUAAAUACAAUAACAAUAAAGUUUAAAGGAGAAAAAAAUGCUCAAUAAAGGCUGAAGAAGAAGCUGGAGUUGCUUUGCUUAUUGGCUUGGCUUCUUCUCUUUGAAUGCUUGAGAGAUGUGAGUGAGAUCUUCAAUGAUGAUUCUCUGACUUCUCUCAACUUGAGGAUGGUGGAAGAAUAAUAAAAAAUCAGUAUGACAUUCUUUCCUUUCACUAUUUAGCUCAAAAUAGAAAAAUUCUUCACUAGAGUUUCAAAAGAUGUUUUUCAAUGCUCUAAGAUUUUUUUAUAUAAUGCUGAUAUUUUCUACUACUUAAAAUCAUCUGAAGAUUCUCUGAAAAGUGUUUGAUCUAUUAGAGAUACAAAAAUAGCCAUUGUAGGGCGCAUGAGAUAAAAAGCUGCUCUUUCUAAAAACUAGUCACUACAGAUAUUGGGUCGGCUCAGUUUUUCUCUUAGUCAGCUCAAUUCAUUACUGGAUUGGUUUAGUUCUUCAUUGGAUCAGUUAAGUUUUAACAAGCUAAAAAUUAGACUUUCUAUCUUUUGAUGUGUUCUCAGACUUGAUCGGCUAUCUUUCUGGCUGAGUCGGCUAGGUUGCUCAUUGAGUCGGCUUAGUUAAAAACUGGAUCGGCUCAAUCCCCUGGGUCCUAAAAUUUUACUUUCUGUGCUUUCUAUUUUCUAUGUCUUUUCAGACUGGGUCAGCUCAGUUAUUGACUGGGUCGGCUCAAUUUGCGUGUCAAACAGGUUAUGAGUUGUUUACCAGCCAUUCUUCUUCAAUUUUCUUUCUAGGCUAGAUUUACCUUGUUUACUUAAUUUUAUUCCUUAUUAAAAUUCUUCCAAGGUGUGUUUAGUCCGGAGAGCUUUCAUAAAUGAUUUGAUUGAUGGUUCUCCAUUUUGAUUUGCAAAAAAACACUUAAGGCAAGUAAGCAAAUUGAAUUUAAAGCUAUACAUCCUUAAGAGCCAUGUUAGUAAUCUAACAAUUUAUACUCAAAUGCUUUUGUUAUCAUCAAAAUCAAUCUCUGGGUCAACAUAAUAAUUUCUUCAUCUUUUAAUUAUGUAGUUUAUUCUGAAUGUAGGGUUUCACGAUAAUGAAUGAAUGAAGAUGGAGGAAAAAUAAUUUGUUGGAAUUCAACUCAUGUGAAGAAUUUUAGAAAAUUGGACUACAGCCAAAAGUUGUGACUUGCAUAUGCAUAAAUUUUGUAUGUUGUGACUGUAGCCAAAAGUUGUGAUUCACUGCCUUAGUGCCAUUGGCUGAUGGCUUGUAAUCAUGUACUUUUUGUAUUAACUGUGUUCCUUUGAUGGCCUUAAGGUUGCGUUUGACAGCUGGUAAUCUAUCCAGAUUAUUGAUAAUUUAAUAUAUAUCUGGAUUAUCAUAUUUGAUACAUUUUUUGGAUUGAUAAUCCAAAUUAUCUUGGCAAUCCAGAUUACCUCCCAAGAGAUAAUUUGAAUUACCAAGAGGAGAGAUGGCUAUAUUGAUUAUCACUACUUUGGUAAUCUUGAAAUAAAGUUUCUAGAUGAAAUUGCCCUUGUCCCCUCCCCACGUGGUGCCACCCGUCACUCGUCCGUCCCUAUCCCCAACUCCCUCUCCCAUGACCGCGCCGCCUACCGCUGCUCCGCGCUCUUGACCAUUGCUCCUCUCACGGCAGGGCCGCCUCCUAUGCUGCUUUCGUGGCCAUCGCCGUCAUCCUUUCUACCGCCACCUCCCUCUCUGUCCGUCUCCUACCCUCCACCGCUGCGAUCCCCUUGUACCAGCUGGUCCAGCUCCCAGAGUCAGGCCUCACUACCAUCUCUUUCCUGACCUUUGCCACCUUCUUCCACCGGCAUAGCUUCUAGUGGGGUGGGUGAGGGCGGCGGCAUGGGUGGGUGAGGACAGCGAUAGAGACGGCCGCGGAGGGUGUGGGGUAUGGGUUCGCCAAGGAGUGAUAUGGGAGGCACGAUGAUCGGAGGGCAGUGCUGGAGGUGCGACGGUCGAGAGGCGGUGCCGAACGGUCGAGGGAGGGGGGAGGGGGGUCGAGGUGUGGCGUGCGGGGGAAGAAGAAGGAAGAAGGAAAAAUAAAAAUAUUAAAAAUAAUAAUAAUUUUUUUCAUAUAAUAUUUUUUAUCAUUAAAAAAUUAAAUAAAUAGUUUAAAAUAUUAAACUAAUAAUUUAAUUUAAAAAUAUUUUAAAAAUUUGAUAUUACAUUAUCAGUAAUUUGAUUGUCAUACCAAAUAUGUCAAUCAAAAUUUACAAUAAUUUUACUAUAAUAUUACUUGCAUAUAUUAAACAUAGUAAUCAAUAUUACGGAUAAUCUAUUCAGAUUGCAAGUAAUUCAGAUUAUCAGGUAAUCCAGAUUAAGAUUGCCUAGUAAUGUAUCAAAUAUAAGCUAAGUUAUUUUAUUGUCAAGGUGAAUAUCUACAUUCAUGUACAUUUGCAUGUGGUUGCAUCUGGUUUUUCUUUUUUCAGCCAUAAUUUUCGUAUUUUGGCCUAUUCUUCUGUUUUUACAAGUGAUUCUAUCAUGGCUUAUUCGAAUGUCCGCAAUGGAGGUAGAAACAUAUGAUAAGAUCGCUCCACAGUCUCAAUAUGCUAAUAUGAUUUCAUUAGUAGAAUAUGCUUUAGGUAUAUGUGUCAAGGAUGUGUAUUUUCCAUCUCAUAGUUGUGCUUAUUUCUUCGUUGUGGUUGUGUGUGUUUCUGUAAAUACGGAAACAACGUGUGGAUGCAUGUUGAGUAUAUUUUUUGUAUUUUAUUAAUAAUGCAAGAUUCUUAUGAUGCCAUUGAGCAAAAACCAAUUAAAUAUGAAUACUAUAUUGCUGCCAUACAUUUAUACUGCUGUUGCAGUGUUAUAAACUUGUGUGGAAUUGUCCUUGAUUGAACCUUCUACAGAAAGCCCAGAUCAGAAAACUAAAUUUCUGCUCUGAUUUUCUGUAUGCUCUGCUGAUUAUUUUAGUGAAAGAAAUAGAAUGAUGCUCCAGGAGGUUGUAAAUCAAUCCUGCAUCAACAAAGUGGAAGAAGAAAAAAUUGGUCACAGCAAACUCCUCUCUUUUUAUAGCCAUAGACUGCACUGAUACUCCCGAAAAUUCGGGCCUAAGCUUGGUUUGAAUAGUUUCAGACCUGAUUCAGACUUGGACGUUGGCCGAUUCAAUUGGACUCGGAUCUGUAUUUUUUUAAAAAAAAUCAGAUCAAAAUUCGGUCUAAAAUCUGAAAAAUUAUUUCGAAUCAAACUUGAACAGAAAUAGGAUCCGAUCCAUUCCGACUUAGGCUUAGCCUCAUCUGUUCCUUAAACUCUGACUAAUUUAAACAUUAAAGGCUCUUCCACGGGAUAAAUUUCAACAAGAGAACUGUUUAUAAGUGUACCCUCCUUUUAAAAUACAAGACGCACUUGGCACUCAAUCGAAUAACUCUUGAGAGUUUGGCAGCAACAAUGCUGAUAUAUUGAAGAUCUAUUAAAUUAUAUUCACAAUUUAUGCAAGCCUUCCUUUAAAUUUAUUUAGUUCCUAAAUUUUAGACUUGGUUAAAUUUUCAUGCCUCUAUGUAAUUGAUUUUUAAACUCCCAUGUCUAUCGUGCAGUUAGACGGAGGUACACUAGCCGGAUAUACAAGCGUUCAAUAGAAAGUAAUAAAUAAUUUUUUUAAAAAAAUUAUAAAGAUAUCCUCCAAAUUUGGAUAUUUAUAUUUAAAUAAUAAAAAAUUAAAAAAAAUCAAGCAAUCACUAAAAUUUUAAAUUUAUUGUAAUGUGAUCUAUUUAUUUAUCUUCAUUCAAAAAUAUUAUCAUGUGAUGUGAUGGUCACUCGAUAACUAAAUUUUUAUAAAAUUUUUUAAAUACCUUUCUCAAUAAAUUAGCGGGGGCUCUUACUCUGGCAGAAAUUGAAAGGGAGGGGAAAGAAGAGUCAUGCACUAACUAGUUGCUCUAAGAUCUGUGAAAAUGAGUUGGAUCGCCCACUGGAUGCUAUGAGAGUUGUGCAUAUGGCUUGGAUCAUCCACUGAUUGCUUUGAGAUAUGUGAAGGCGGGUUGGAUCAUCCAUGGGUUGCUUUGAGAUACAUCCAGGCGAGUUGGAUCACCCACUGUCUGCUUUGAAAUCUAUGCGAGUGGAUGAAUUAUGGAAGAUAGGGUGCUUUGAGAUUUCAUAUGGUGGGUGAUCUGUAGGCGAUACAAGUGAAAUUUCGCUAGAGAUCAGGGGAGGUUGAAUUCGUGAUCGAAGUUGAGGCGGGCAGGGGCAAAGAGGUCACAACAGAGAAGGAUCCGAGCAUGAAGGAAGAUAGUGUAGCUGAUGGCAGGGGAUGUGGUGGGGAGGAAAAGGGUGUGGUCGAUGGCAGCCGUGGAUGGGAGGAAGCAGAUGAAGUAGGCGACGGUGGGAUAGGGGGAACAACAAUGGGAAGGGGAGGCGAAGAGAUGGGGAAAGGGAGGGGUAGAGGAGGUAGGAGUUGGGGAGCAUGAGGGUAAGGAAAUGAGAGGCCUCCGACAAAAGGCUGGCUGCACAAAUCUACUCUCCAUCACCACCUUCCAGAUAGAGGGAGACUAAGGCACCACUCAUGGUCUCGGUUGAAGAGAGAGAUGCUGCCAUUGGGGUCUUCGUGAUGGAGGUGUCCCUUGUGAGGAGGGACUCAAUUGAGGUGGUGGAUGUUGUAUCGGUCGAUGAGGAGGGAGGUGUCAAUGGUUCGAAGGACAAAGGUAUCCAACAAGUUCAUGAACACCACCAUCGCAGUAUCAUUAUUGAACAAUAGUACAUGCCACCUCUCCACGACCACAUUCCUCAUUGACAAACAAGGGUUAUCGGCAAGUGGAGGCGAGCAAAAACGAUUAGAAUUCGGUUAGAAAAAAGAAGACGGCUAAACAAUGAUGAGCAAAAAGGAUCACUCACUGGCUGCCUUGAGAUCUAUGCCAUUCCUCUUUUUGAGAUAUAUGCUGGUGGAAGAACGAUGGAACGCAAGGUGUUUUGAGAUAUGUACGAUAGGUGAUCCAAUAGUAGUCUUGUGGAGAGAAAAAUGAAUAUCCUCUUAUGUGAAAGCGUCAUCCGAUCACUCUCAAUCAAGGAUAUUUCUACAUUUCUUUUUUCCUUGCUUUGGUGUCCGGGUUUAAAUAGAUGGCUGACCCAUAUUGCAAGGAAAAUUAAAUUUUGAGCCAGUUCAAAUAGUUGGGGGUGUAAACGUAGGUCGCCUAAAUUUAGAGGGUACCUCUGUAAUUUUGGCGAAGAAUAAAGCCCUCGUGAGGGCGCUUUCUUUAGCUUUAGACCGAGUUUUCCUUCCGCUUCUGACAGUCUUCCAAAGCAAAGACAAUCGCUCUCACAUUCUGAUUUCUUCCCCAAUAGAAGUUGUUAAAACAACACAACAAAAAUCUUCGAUCCUCCGUCUCCUCUCCUCUCCUCUCAUCUCUUCCUCCGGUUUGGGAUCGGAGGCCUGAGACGAUGGCAGGGCGGCGGGAGGCCCCGCUGAUGCGCGGCAAUGGCCCGCCUUCUCGCGGAUCUCGGAUCGCCAUGGCUGUUGCCAUCGGCAUCAUUCUCGGAUGCGUCUUCGCCUUACUCUUCCCUGACGGCCUCUUCCGCUCUUCUUCCCCAUCUCCUUCUCGCAACCAGCACACCGCCAAAUUGAGUCAGGUACUCUCGAUUCGACUUCAUCUCCUUCUUUUCUUGAUUUUUAUGACUUCUUCGCAUCCAAAGAUGCAAGCUUGGAAAUGCCCCAAUUUCAGAAAUUGUGGUAACUUUAUAAUUCUUCAUAUGCCAACUAUGUGUUUUUAAUUCUUUUUUUUCAAUUUAUAAGUAGAGUUUUGGGUAUCUUAUACCAGACUUUGUUAAAUUUUUAGAACAUAAGGCGGCGAUUUUUAAGUAUGGUAAUAGGCCAAGGGUGGAGCAAUUUUUUCAACCAUUUCCAGGAAGGAAAGCUACACCAUGAUCAAUUCUUCCUAUAUUUGUUCUGUCCUUAUAUAUUGAAUGUUUUUGGCAAUUUUUAUGGAAUUUUCUGAUUAUAUUUAAACUUGUUGAGUAAAACAUUGGACUUAUGUUCACUGUUUAAUAGCCCGUCAAAGAUCAUAACAGCUGCACAUGGUUUCAUCCAAACAUUUGUUGACUACAAACUGUUGUGUUAAGGUAUGAUAUAAUAUCUGAAGAAGUAAUUUAGUGAUGGACUUGUAGAAGGUUGUCCAUAACAGAUUUGUUGAUUACAUGGCUAAAAGCAUGUAUGGCAAUUGAUAGUAGAAGUGAAAACCACUUGUGGCUUGAGAGUCUCUAUUCUAUUGCAGCGCCUUUAGAUCUAUUGUUGUUUGGGUGCAAUAGGGGUGCUAUAUUUAGUUGUUGGUGGGUGAAUAGAGUUAGUCAUUGAUAAGUGAAUGUUACGCAGAUCUUUUUCAUGAUUGAGUAAUUGAAUUUUGACAAAUAGGCAUUCAUAUUAGUGGGAGUGUUGUGGAAAGCUUUCAGUAGGUUAUGAUUAAUGCCACUUGAACAUAUGGACUUCUGCAAUAUGAGAAGCGCCAUCACCAUUGAACAAUUGAGUACAACAUGAUACUGCUUGGUGCAUCCUGAGAGUGAGUCUUAGUGCAACAAUAAGGUUACUCCAUCAUGACUUGGAGAUUAUGGGUUUGAAACACCGAAAUAGCCUCUCCACAUGUGGAAGUAAGGUUACAUACAUUCGAUCCUUCCCAAACUCUAUAAUGGUAGGAAUGCCGUGUGCAUUGGACCGUCUUUUUUCUUUUUGUUGCUUGGCACAUCAUCUAAUGAAUUGAUGAUGCCUGUAGGCAACUUGCAGUGCCAACAUUUGGCAUGGUAUUUUUGACUACCAUAUCCUGGACACCAUAACGUAGGCAUAUCUACCUAUUUCAAAAAAAAUGAAAAAAUGAAAAAAAAUGUAGAUGUUUCUGCUCCAUUCUAAUCAUUUUAAGCAUUUUUUCCCUUGAAAGCAGGAAUACUAAAUUUUGUUAGGUUUCCUCAACUUGAGGUUUUAGCUCUACAUUUUUUAUGGUAUCUGUUUAGUGAUCUGAUUCAUCAAUCAGAUCCGCACCAUAUUUACAUUUUGUCAUUAUGGAUGAUAUACAUUGCAUCAGUAUCUUAGAGGCAAAAUCCUAAUGGCAGUGCAUGGAUUUGAGAAAUUUCUUUAGAUGGUGGACAAAUAAGAAUUGUGAAUUGAGCUAUUCAAAAAUAAGUGCUGGAGGGUUAGCAUCUAUUUUAAAAGAAAAAGGCAAAAAAACCUGAUCAGCAUAUGUCACAAAAUACUAGCAGCCUUGAGAAAGAUAUUCAACUCCAAGAACUAGAUGAAGAUUGUAAUUUCUUUUUGUUGAUCUGAAUUUUUGAACAUUGAAGGACCAGUUGGUGCAGAUUUGAUAUUUGAUUAUUAUAACAACCUAGGAUCUUUCCUAAACAAGCCAGCUAGAAGGUGUUAUUUGGAUUCUUUGGCCCUAUGUAAGUACCUAAAAUCUAUCUAGUAUAUAGCCGAUAUAGAUCUGAAUAUUUGGCUGCAUGGGUCCUCACAUUCUCCCCUAAUUUAAGCCUUAUUGUCCUUGCCAAUAUAAGGAUCUAAAUCCAUUUCAAUCCAAUCACAAGUACCAUAAAUCCAGUCACAAAUACCACAAUUAGCUAUGGUCAACCAAAACAAGCCCAUGCUGCAAUCUCCUGGUCUACAUGGGUCAUUAGCCAAGUUCGCUUUAAUACUAUUCGUAACAACCCUAGACCUCAUCCAAAAUAGCUAACUAGAAGGUGUUAUAUAGGUUCCUUGGAUCCUAUAUAAGUACCCAAGAUUUACCUAGUGCAUCGCUUAAGAUUAAACGUUCUCAUAAUUAUUGAUCUCAGUAAUGGAGGUCUAAUAAUCAAAAUUCCAAUUAUUGAUGAUCCCUAAGAAGAAUUUUAUUAGAAGAUCUAAUUAUUGAAUGGAAACUGUCAUGCAGUCUAUUUUAUCUUUAUUUGAAGGUUUCAAAAAAUUAUUCUUAUCUAAUUGUGAAUUGGAUGAGUUGGGUUGGUAGAAGAGAGUCAGAGAAGUAACAAUGUGAUAGAUUAAUGGAAAGAUAGCUCUUGAACAUCCGAUGGUUGGACUUAAAAAUAGCAUUUUCAUCAGCAAGAAUGUUAGGUGGGAUCAAAGCAUCAAAAAUAGUAGAUAUUAUUAUAUUCUUUAUGGGGGUUAAGGUUUUGAAUUUAGAAUUGAUUGCUUAUAUUUUCUGAAUCUAGUUACGACCACAGCUAGUAAGUUUAAUGAGUAAAGAUCUGAGUGUCAAUUUCAUCUAUAUAAUAUGUGAUUUUGUAGUGAUAAAUUAAUGGUCUUUACUAAUGUGUCUUGAACAUCCAAUAGUUGGACUUAAAGAUUACAUUCAUUAGCAAGAAUUUCUGAUAGGAUCCAAGCACCAAGAAUAUGUAGAUGUUAUUAGAUUCUUUGUAGGGAUUUAGGCUUUGAAUUUAAGAUCGAUUCGUUUAUAUUUUCAGAAUCUAGUUACCACCACUACCAGUAAGUGUCAUGACUAGAGAUCUGAGUGCCCAUUUCUUUUGUAUAAUAUGUGGUUUUGCAGCAAUAGAUUAAUGGCAAGAUAUUACCAUGUUGGUCUGUACCAAUAGGUCUUCGACUUCCAAUGGUUGGACUUAAACAUAACAUUAAUUGGCUAGCAUUUUAGAUGUGGGAUCCAAGCACCAAAAAUAAUUUCAUAUGUAUGGUAUGUGAUUUUGAAGUGUAUGAUUGAUAAACAUCUUCUCGAAGUAUUUGAAGCACCAAAUAGGAUUUUGUAAUGCAUACACACAUGCACGCAUGCAUACACACAUACAUACAAACAUACACAUGCACAUAGACACAUACACAUACAUGUGUACAUACAUGCACACAUACAUAUAUACAGAGAGAGAAAGAGACCUGGCUAAGUGGAUCUCUACUCGGAUUUGAUCAAGUUUAGAUGGGACAAUGAGGGCCUCACAUCGAUGAUCCGAGUCAUUGGAUGUGAUCUAUUACCUUUAGGUUGCUUAUGUUCCAAAAUUUUAUGUGAUUUAGAGACCUUUAGCAUAUGCAUCAAAUGAUCAGAAAAUUAGAUGAUCUAAGUUAAAUUAAAUUAUAUAUCUUUGAUCACUUGACAUAUAGGCUAUGGUUCUUUAAAUCAUAUGAUUUUUCAUGUCUAAAUAAUUUAGAGGUAGUGGAUCAUAUUCAAUGAUUUAAAUCAUCAACAUGGGAUGCCCAUUGUCCAAUAUAGACUUGACCGGAUCUAAGUGGAUAUCCACUUGAGCAUAGCCAAGUCCAGCUCUCUCUCUCUCUCUCUAUAUAUAUAUAUAUAUAUGUGUGUGUGUGUGUGUGUGUGUGUGUGUAUGUACGUGCUUUUAUGCAUACAUUUAUAUGGUUACAUACAUGAUUUUCAGAACCAUCCCGAAUCAGACGGUUCAGGACGUAUCGAACCGGACUGACAGGGAACUGGGAUGUUUCCGGCUUGGAAAGCGGCACAUGCUGGUGCAGAGGAAGAAUGAGAGGAAAAGAGAGGAAGAGAGAGAGGAGAGGAACAUGCUGCCGUCAGAGGACGGCGUUUGCCCGAUGAGGUCGUCGGAGGGCCGCAGAGGCGUCCGUGCUCGGUGUCGCCCGAUAAGGGCUUUAACCCCGAGAGAGGAGAGAGAUGCUAUCGAACUACGGGGAUGGUAGUAGAGAGAUCUCUGGCACUGCUGGAUGGCCGCUAUGGUCAUCGAGCGGUGAAAAAUAUGCAGAUAGAGCCACGGUCGCGGAACAAGAGUGAUCGCUUUUGUUUGUCGCGUCGCAUUUUUUAAAAGCGAUGAUGAAUAGUGAAGCCGGCAAACCCAUUGCGGGCUUCACUAUUUCAAUUUUUUUAAAAAAAAAUCGAGAAACAGUGAAGCCGGCAAUGGAUUUGCCGGUUUUAUUAUUUCAAUAUUUUUUUUAAAAAGUUCAAAAACAGUGAAAUCAGUAAUGCGUUUGCCGGCUUCACACUUUUGUCGGUUUCACUUAAGUGUGAAGCCGGCAAAUCCAUUGCCGGCUUCAUUAUUGUUAGACUUUUUUGAUUGUCUCUAUUUCACGAUCGCAGAGCCGCAGAUGGCGUUUGUGCCGCCCAACGGCCAUGACAGUCAGUCAAAGUCCCUCCGAUAGCCUCUCCACCAGACCUCCCCUCGAUCCUUUUCUCUCUCUCCCCUUUCUUUCUCUUCUCUCUUUUCUCCCACGGAUGACGCGAAGCUGUGGUGGCCACCACGGCUCUCCGAGGGCCCGCACAAUCCUCCGAUGGUCACCAGCGGUAUCUCUGCCGCCUCAACUUGCUUCCUUUCUCUUUCUCUUCCUCAUUUUUUCUCUCUUUCUCUCUUUUCCUCCUCCCCGGUUCAUCUCUUUUUUUGUUAGUUUCCGCUGUUCUGAUCCGAUAUGGGGCCAUACCGAUCCGUACCGCCGGCCAACCGGAAUAGUGUUCGCUACCGAUUUUGAAAAUAUUGGUUAUAUAUGUCUAUUGUGUGUAUACAUGCAUCCAUGUGCACAUACACACAUACACAUACAUACAUGUAUGUAUGAGCAUGUGCGUGCGUGCACGUGCGCGCGCACACACACACAUAUAUGGCUAUAUCUAUAAAGAUAGAUAUCAUAGUGCAAACAUAUAAGCUUUCAGUUAGAAAUUUAAAUGAAAGUAUAAAGGUCAUAGGAACAAAAACUUGAGCAAACUAGUGGGAAUUUAAAAAUUAGAAAGGUAUUUUUAAUCUAGGAGGAUUCUUAGAGUUGACGUGGACUACUUUGGCCACUACGAGUAGGAUUGGACAGGAUCUGGAAGCAAGAUCCACCACGUCGCAAAGUCGAGUCACCUGUCAAACUUCUGGAGGCCAUAACCUGGUCAUACUUCGGUUGAGAUUUUUUUUGGGUUAAAUUGAGCAGUUUUUUUUAGAUCUAUAAUGUGGCACCAUGCCUUUCAAGAGGCGAUGCUUCUAGCUAUCAGGCCCAAAUUCCAUUGUUUGGGGUGAUUGAUUAAAUCAAAAGUUUCUAUUUCGGAUAAGAAUUUGAUCCCACAUAUCUUCUAAUCUGAAAAAAAUUUGGUGGGGCAACAAAAUGUGGAGUUGAUAUAGAAGUUGAGAUUUAUUCCUUGAAAAAUUUUAAUUUUUUCGAGUUUAGUUCUAUGAGUUAUAUAUAUUUUAGAUAAAAGACUCAUACUAGAACUAAAAAAGAAUCCGACUAACCUUGCUAUUAUAAAUAGAUAUUGUGUACUUCGGUUUUAAAUCAAUCAAUUAAAGAAAUGAGACCUAAAUCCUACUUUUGAAAUUUUCUCAUCUAGUUUUCUUUGCGCGAUUCGAGUUGAAUGGAUUAAGAGGAAUCUUCCUUCUAUCCAAUCAGAUUAAGUUGGUAUCAAAGCGUCAAUCCUCUAGAUCUUAGUUUAUGGUUUAGACAUGCAAGCAAUAGAAGCAAUUAAGAGAAGGGCAAUCCAUUCUCCAAGUACAUCAAAGGACAAAGGCAAGGAUGCUUGCUAGCUUUUCCUUUAUGGAUAAUGAGAUGAAAGGAUGUCUCACAAAACUAGAAGAGAAAAUUGUCCAACUCACCAAGAUCGUCUCCAGCAAGGUUUGCCAUAUCGUGCCGAACCGGUCGGUACACCCUAUCUCGUACCGGACCGGCGGAAAACCGACACGAUUCGGUCGGUAAAAUCGGUACACCAGCGGUACCGAAGAAUAAAGAAUGAAAAGUGAGAAAGAGAGAGAGAGGGGAGGGAAGGGAGGGAGGUGGGAGCCAUCGGAGGCCGGUUGCGGCCGUUGGAGGGCUUUCGAGCUCCGUAUCGCCCGGUAGGACUUUCAAGAGAGCAAAAAAGAGAGAGAGUGCUCGGAGGGGGGGCGGAGAACCUACCGGACAGACGAUGCCUCCGUUGCGAGGCUCUCGGUGGCCGACGAGCCGACGCCGACGGUCUGAGGGCGGUCGAGCGGGCGGAGCCCCUCCGCGGCUUCGCCUNNNNNNNNNNNNNNNNNNNNCCUCCGUUGCGAGGCUCUCGGUGGCCGACGAGCCGACGCCGACGGUCUGAGGGCGGUCGAGCGGGCGGAGCCCCUCCGCGGCUUCGCCUCCUUCUUCUUUUUUCGAAACAGACGAUGUUCUGUUUUGUAGUUUUUUUUUUUUUAAUUUAUGAAGUCGGCAACUGGGUUGCCGACUUAAGAAUUUUUUUUAAAAAAACAAAAAUCGUGAAGUCGGCAAACGAGUUGCCGACUUAAGAAUUUUUAAAAAAACAAAAAUCAUGAAGCCGACAAAUCGUUUGCCGACUUCACUUAAAAUCAUGUUUUAAAAAAUUUGCGAAACAGGGGCGAUGCCUCUGUUUCACGCCUGCGGCGCCGUGCGCGUGGACGGCGCCCUCCGACGGCCACGGCGGCCAGUCGGAGGCCGUCCAGCGGCCCCGCCGGCUCCUUCCCCUCCUUUUUUUUUCUUCCUCUUUCUCUCUCAAUUUCUCUCUUUUUUCUUCUGGUUCGGGUCGUCGGUUCGGUACGGUAUGAAACCAUACCGAACCGUACCGCCGGCCGGUGAAACGGCCGACGGUAUCGAUUCAGCAAACCUUGGUCUCCAGAUUGACGAUAUCUCGGCACAAGUAUUAGCAACUUAUGUUGCUAAGCUAUUUCCCAUGUCUGGAGAUGAAUAUCCUCUAUCCAUCAAGGAUGAGUAACCUACAAGUACAUAAAAUCUCUCUUUAAUCCUUUGAAGUUGAAGUAUGAAUUAAUAUCCAUGUAUACAAUAAGACUGUCGAUACGAAGAAGCUAGAUUAUUGGUUAAAACAAUUAGAGACCUACUUUACUAUUUAUAGAUACUCUGGUGUCCAAAAUCUAGCUUUUGCUUGUCUCAAACUCUCUAGCUAUGCUUUUACUUGAUGGAACUAGCAUACAACCAUGCAAUGCAUAGGAUACUCUCUUUAUUUUAAAAAUAUAUAAUUUUAAAUAUUAUUUUUUAAUUAAUUACAUAAUUAUUUAGAAAAUAAUAUAUUUUAUGAAUAUAUAGAAUAUUUAUUUUGGUUAAUAAGUACUUUUAUUGAAGUUUAAUUAAAAAGAAUGCUUAAUAUCAUUAGACUUAAAUAAGAGAAUGAUGAAUAAAAAAUGAUUCUAUUAUUUUAAUGUUUUUACUCUAGCAUCAUCCAAGUAUCGUCGUAGAAUCUAGGAUAUACAUUUUGGAGUAAACAUAGAAUAUAUGUUUACAAAAAAAUUUAAGUGGCUCAAUCUGUAUAUAUUUAUUGUGAUUUGUGUACACAUUUAUUAAAAUCUAUGUUUGAGAUAAUUGCAAUCCAACUUUGUCUAGUAGCAGUAAGAAAAAAAUCUUUAAAUCCAACUUGACAGGGCCUAAAUUGUCUGGAUCAAACUUCGACUAAUAGAAUUGAACCAUUUAAGAGUUAUUCUUCUUAAGUUCGAGGGUGGUAUUAUAUGAUAUUGUACUGUGUAUUAUGUUAUAAUUGUUCCAAUUUAAAUUAUUAAGCUAGAGGUUAUUAUACUUUCCUCCAUUUAAGUGAGAGAGAGAGAGAGAGAGAGAGAGAUGGGGCGUUGCUUUUCCUAGAGUCUUGAGAAAGGUUAUUUGGCAAUGUAUAGAAUUCAAUUCUAGAAUAUUUACUUACCUUGUUAGGCUUUUAAAUGGCUCAUCUACCUUUUUGGGAAUAAUUAUCCAUAUAUGAGGCGAAAGCAUAGUCUGUACAUAUUAAGUGAGAGAGAGAUGGGACAUUGUUUUUCUUGGAGUCUUGAGAAAGGUUAUUGGCAACAUAUAAAAUUAAAUUUCUGAAUAAUUACUUGUUUAGCUUUUAAUUGCUCCAUCUAUCUUUUUGGGGAAUAAUUAUCUGUGCACGUGGAGAAAGCAUAGUCUGUACAAAUGGCAAAAGAAGAGCUUUACCAACAUAAAGCCUCCAUUAUAAUAUAUAUACACACACACACACACACUAGAUUCAAACAUGAGGAACGACAACAUUUCUAAUUUGAUAUGGAGUAAAUUCAAGGUCUCUCUCUCUCACUUAAAUGGAGCAAUUCUACCUAAUUAGCUACAAGAAGGAUCGGUGGAUCAAACGGCAAUAUGUGUAAUAGAAGUAUGAUCAAUCCAUUUAGGACUACAUUGAAUUGUACAAAUAGGCAAUCUCACUUGAAAUCUCUAUUGACAAUCAUGCAGUCUCAUGAAGUAUGGUCGAGAUUUCUAGAAGAGCAUUCGAAGGGAGCUGAAACUCUUCAAAGUUGAAGAUAUUAGUGAAGCCAGUAUGAAGGACAUGGGGAUUGAGGAGAAGAAUAGUCUAGGAAAGGCAAGAAGGGCGAUAAGUUUAGAAAAAGUGACAAAAAUUCAGGUCAGGAAGGAAAGUAAAGUAGAAAGGACAUCAACACAACUUAGAAACAUUACUACAACUACUUUAACCUUUGCAAAUACACCAAAUAAUAAUGUUGGAAUUUCACCCAUAGUUGCAGUCGAAGAGGAAGAAGCCAAAGGACGAUGAUUCUAACAAGAAAGAGAGGAUGAUUCUCAAUGCUGUAGAGAUUGAGGAGUUGUCCGAGCUUGAGAAAGUGGACUCCAAAUUGAGCUUGAUGGUGAGAAAAUCUAAGAUAGCAAUUGAGGUAGAUUUAGAGGUGUGAGAGAAACUCUAAAGAUCCAAGUGAAGCAGAGCAUUAUCGAGACUGUUAGAUUCUAAAAGCCAAAAUAAUCUGAAUAUUCAGAAGCUUGGGUUGCAGAUCCAACCUUAUCCAUGUACUUAACCUCUCAGUUGGAUUCGGAAAGAUGUUGAGUUGAAGAUUAUCGAGCGAUGUACCUGCAAGUUCGCCAUAGUUGAGAGCUAUAUUAAUGAGGUAACAUAUGAAGUAGUCGUUUGGAUGUUUGUUAGGCCAUCCUUAGGGAGCACGUAUGUUUGGGAUCGAGAUACAGUUUUCUAAGACAACAGAGAAAGUAUCAUCUCAUAAAAGAUGGGAAGGAGUUCAUGAUCAAUGCCUCCAAAACACAAGUGAACAUAGACAUUGCAACCACAACUUAAGCAAAGGGACUUGUUAAUGCUUGCAAUAAAUUUGUGAUGAUAGUACGAGAAGCUGAUGAGAGGCCAAGUUUUUGUCUCUUGGUUCAACCAACCAAUCAAACGAGAUCGAGAUUGAGAGAGAGUUGCUAUAAUCAUUAUGGACGAGAAGGAUGGCAAAGAGCAUCCCUACCAUGAAAUCUAGAUGCAGAAGUGGUUCAUUGAGACUUGAGAGAAAGGAAGAGCAAGGUCACGAAUCAUCUCUGAGCAAAGCCAAGUGAUUCAACAGUGAGAUAAGGGAAGUAGGUGUUUUUCCACCUUCAGUUCUAAUUUAGCGGGAGCUAAAUCCCCUGAACAUGGGAAGCCUUGAUCCAAAAGAAUCCUCAUAUUUGAUAUGGAUCACUUUGGCCACUACAAGUAGGGCUAGGUAGGGUCCGGGUGCAAGAUCUGCCUCAUUGAAAAAUCGAGUCAUAAGCCAAACUUCUAAAGGCCAUAAUUUGAUCAUAUGAUAUUUGAUUUAGAUGAUCUUUUUUUUAAAAAAAAUUGAAUAGUUUUUGAGAUCUACGAUGUGACAUUAUGCCCUUUAGGGGGUGGCGCCUCUAGCGAUCAUGCUCAAAUUCCAUUAUUUGAGGUCUAAAAUAGGUUGGUCAAAUUAAAAAUUUUCUUUUUGGAUAAAAUUUUAGCCGGACAUACCUUUCAAUCCGAGAAGAAUUAGUGGAGCGAUAGAAUGCGGAAUUGAUGUAGAAGUUGAGAUCUAUUUUUUAAAGAAUUUUAGUUUUUUUGAGUUUAUGUUAACUAGUCAUGUCUAUUUUAGAUAAAAAAAAGUCCUACUAAAAGUAGGAAGAGGAAUCUGAUGGACCUUGCUAUUCUAAAUGGAGGUUGUGUACUUCAAUUUAAAUCAAUCAAUGAAAAAAAAUGGGGACUUACGCCCUAUCUUUGAAAUUCUUUAAUUUUCUUCUAGUUUUCUUUUGCGUGAUUCGAGCUGAGUGAGUUGAGUAAAAUCUUUCUUCUCUCCGAUCCGAUUAAUUUUCCCCAUCUUGUCUAUAGUAUGUGAUUUUAUGGUGUAUGUGAGAUUUGUUCUCCAAAUGUUCUACUUCUCUAAACAGAUUCUUGCAAACCAAGUUAUGUUGGCUUAGAAUGUUGCUUGUGAUGGUAUUAGGAACUUGAAUUGUCCUUUCCUUUUCCGUUAUGAAUUUGGUUUGAUGGUUUGAAUUUGCCUGAUUUAAUCAAAAAUUUUGUUCAAGUGUUUCGUGAUUCAGGUCAUUGAUCCCAAAAAAAACUCUUUUCCUUUAUUACUAUGCAUCAUUUCAUGCUCGAUAAUCCAACACUAUGAUCGUUGUACGGGAUUCUAUAUUAUCUUCUCUCAUUUUCAGUAUCAAAUACAAAAUUUUGAUCUACAUACUGCAUGUAGAUUGAUCAUCGCAAAUUCAUCUACAUCAAUGGAUUAGUACAUUUUGUGGUUCCUUGUACGGGGAACUCAUGACCUUGAUGGAAAGGUUAUCAACCAACAAGCUGCACUUCUUUAGAUAGAAAUCUGAUUAAUAAAGCAUCUAAAUUACAAUAAAGAUGUUUAUAGUAAAAGGCUUUGGCUGACAUACACAAUGCCAUGGGUUUGAGUCCUUUGCGGUCACUUUAUGGAAAAGAAAUACCAAAGGGUCGGUCUGUCCUCAGUCCGCCCCUUCUAGAACCUUGGAGUGCUUGGACCAUAACAGGGUAAUUGCCCUUUUCAUAUGACAUGGUUUGUAAUAUUAGCAUGGUGAAUUAAAUCAUAUAGGAAAAAAAGGAAUAGCCAAUUUAUCUUCAAACCUAAAAGGCCAUUAUCUAGUUAUGAUCUCGGCAAUCCGGGGUUUUGGGAGAGACAAACUGGAGACAGGCCUAAGCUUUGGCAUCUUUUUUGAACAAAGUGACUAGCCCAAGGCUUGAAUCCAUGAAUCGAAUUUGUGCCAUUGUCUUGUUGUCACAAGCCUUUUACCAUUGCAUCAAGCAUUGACCCUUUAAAUUGAUCUUCAAAGUGGACAUCAUAUAGAUUUCGCUGUGCUAGUUUCCUAAAGAUUGAAGAUUUAUGCCGCAAUGGAAUUGAACAUCCAACCAUCUAGAAAAUAGUGGUUGAUGAAUUGAGUCACACUUUCGUAUCCAUUUGACAUAAAUGCAAGCCGUUAGUUUCAUCUUGGUGGCAUAAUUGUCUGUUGACUUUCGUUCACUUUAGUGUAUAUCAUUCUGUCCUUUGAUAUAUUUGUCCUAAAUAAUCAUUUUCCUUUUCUUUCAUGUCAGAAUGGUAACUUUCUUUUUUCUUUUAACUUAUUCUAGGUUAAUUCAGCCCCAUGUGAAUCACUUGAGAGGACAAACAUUUUGAAGUCAGAGUUGGCAUCACUAUCAGAAAAAAAUGCAGAAUUAAAGAAGCAGGUUAGGGAGCUAACUAUGAAACUUCAAUUGGCUGAGCAAGGAAAAGAUCAGGCUCAGAAGCAGUUUCUAGCUUUAGGAGUCCAGCCUAAAGCAGGUCCUUUUGGAACUGUCAAGAGUUUGAGAACAAAUCCAAAUGUCAUUCCCGAUGAAUCUGUGAACCCAAGAUUGGCAAAGAUACUAGAAAAGGUGGCUGUUCAGAAAGAGCUUAUAGUUGCUCUAGCAAAUUCUAAUGUAAGGGAGAUGGUGGAGACAUGGUUUGAGAAUAUCAAAAAAGUGGGUAUACCUAAUUAUCUAGUUGUAGCAUUGGAUGAUGAGAUGGAAAAUUUCUGCAAAUCUAAGGAAGUUCCUGUUUACCGAAGAAAACCUGAUGAAGGCAUAGAUUCUGUUGGAAGGACUGGUGGGAACCAUGCAGUGUCCGGAUUGAAGUUCCGCAUUUUGAGAGAAUUUUUGCAGCUUGGUUACAGUAUUCUUCUCUCAGAUGUGGAUAUUAUCUACUUACAGAAUCCGUUUAAUCAUCUCCACAGAGAUUCUGAUGUGGAAUCCAUGAGUGACGGUCACAAUAACAUGACAGCUUAUGGUUAUGAUGAUGUCUUUGAUGAGCCUAAAAUGGGAUGGGCAAGAUAUGCUCAUACAAUGCGGAUUUGGGUUUACAAUUCUGGUUUUUUCUAUAUCAGACCCACAAUUCCUUCAAUUGAGCUUUUGGAUCGUGUAGCAAGCAGGUUAUCUCGCGAAAAUGCAUGGGACCAGCAGGUCUUUAAUGAAGAGCUUUUUUUCCCCUCACGCCCAGGAUAUGAUGGGCUUCACGCAUCAAGGAGAACCAUGGAUAUGUAUCUUUUUAUGAACAGCAAAGUUCUUUUCAAGACGGUGAGAAAAGAUGCUAAUCUGCGCAAGCUAAAGCCUGUGAUUGUUCAUGUGAAUUACCAUCCAGAUAAGCUCCGUAGAAUGAAAGCUGUUGUGGAGUUUUAUGUCAAUGGAAAUCAAAAUGCACUGGAUCCUUUCCCUGAUGGUUCAGAGUAGUAUAUGGUCUCUUGCUCAGGGUUUUCACGUUUGCAAAAGCACAGGUUUUAACUGUACCUUGUAGACGUUACUUCCUGUAGGUCUGUCUAAAAAGCUUGUUGAUUGUAGUUUUCAGAAGUCGCUACCCUUGAACUUCUUAUUGAGUGCUGCUACCAGAAAUGCUUUUUUAUAAUUUAAAUACAACCCUUUUUUUACGCUCUACACUGCACUUUUUUCCCCUGGCUAAUUUGAUUUUACCGCCAAGCAAGGAAUUUAUUUGAAAGAUUUGGAUUUUACUAGCUUUUUUAUGUUUAUUUACUUGUUAGUGUUGGUUGGUGGCAUUACCAUUGAAAUAUGGCACUACCUUAUCCUUGUUUUUCUCAUCUGUCUGUGUGGAAAUGGUUCAUUGACUUGUUGAAAGAUAUUUAGCAUGAUCAGUAGCUUAGUACGUUGUUUAUGGGGUCAAGAUUCAGUACUUGUUGAAGCUUAUGUUUUGAGGAUCUGUAUAGUGUCACGCAGAGUUAUAUAAAAGUGGCAUGAUUUAGGUCUACUGCAGAAGUGGAAGGAAAGUGAAAUUUCUGCCUUGGCUCCCUCUGCAAUACAAUCAUCUGACAAGUUUUCAGUGCAUGCAACACAUGUUGGGGGACAUCCAUCUGAAUCCUACAAAUGCAGAGCAAAUGGGUAGGCUAGAUGAGUAUAUAAGCUCACUUUGUUUUUUUGGUACAUUAUAAGCUCACUUUGUUUAUACCAUGCUGAUGUCAUUGUUAUUAUUUUGGUAUGGUACAUUAUAAGUUCUUAUGUGUCUGCUUCAAAUAUUCUGGAGGACAGCGAUUCGUAAUUUAGAAGAAUGAAACAAAUUGAUUUAGCUUUGAAUUCCCCAAAAGAACUUGUCUUAGCUUGCAAACAGUGGGUAAUGCUCAGGUGGGGAGUGAAAUAGUUCAUUUUCUAAUGUUAGUUUUAAUGUUCUUGUGCAUUUAGGCAUGUCCCGUUAAGAAAAGACAGUUUGGAUCCAAAGACAAAUAUAAUAAGGGUAGUUUUAAACAUGAGAAAGAUAAAAUGUAGGACAAUCUCCAGCUCCAAAUCCCAAUUAAGUAGAGUUUGCAAUGGCUUUAUCCCACUGUCUCACCCUUCCAUCUAAGAACCGGAGUCCCUGUAGUUGAAUCUUGGGUGGUGCAUCUUCUAUGAUAUUUGAACUUGGAUAAUUAUAUUCAGGUGGGUUUGCCUCCUUUACUUUAAAAGUAAUAACGUUGUUGCAACCAGUUUAGAUUUUUAUAGAUUUCCAAGGUAUUAAGAUUCUAUAAAAAGCCUCUGACAUUUGAAUAAAUUUUGGAGAUACAAGUUCCAUUUCCUAUAAAUCCUCUCCCUGUUAAUAUAUUGAUAGAGAGAGAUAUUUGCAAUCAUUAGCAACUUUAAUGGAAAAGCAUUCCUUAGGCAACUUCGGUUAUUGAAGAUGACAAAAUGAUUUUUAACCAAAAAAAAUGUAACAAAAUGAUUUUCCUUUCCCUUGGAUUUACCUUCUUUCUCAAAACUUUGGUUACCCUCCCUAUUCUCUCUUGGUCUAUUUUCUCAAAAUUUUGAACCCUGACUCCCAUGCAAAAAGAUCUGUCAGUGCAUAAAAAGUCUCUCUCGUUUUUCUCUUUUGAUGGAUAUAUGGUUUCUUUUUCCCCCCAAACUGAAGUUCUAGAGGCAUGAAUUCAUGGUGACCCUUUUCUUCUUGGUAUUACUUUCAUUCUUCAUCAUAUUGUAAUUACUUAGUUUCAAAUUUUUGGAGACACUCCAUUCAAAAGCCAAACCGAGAAGCUCUGCUUGCGAAGCAGAGGUGUGAAAUCUAAAACAAUCCUAGUUCACAUGAUCAUUAAAUCAGUAAUGAGACAAUUGCACCUGUGAAUACAGUUUACUCAUUAUAUGGACCCAAAAAUUCUGUGCAUGCCCUUCAUGGAUAAAGACUGCUGUGCACAGAUAUACAUGAUCAUUAAAUCAGUAAUGGAUAAAUUCUCUGGGCGCGGAUCCUCUACCAAAAAGGCAGACUGCUUUCUCUUACAAAUGUUGCAAAUAUAACAUCCGAAGGAUUCAAACAGAGACCACUAGUUCUGCAGUUUCUCAUUAAAUAUUAUUCUCUGCAAUUAAAAAAAAAAAUCCAUGAUAACAUCAAAAGCUAGCAUCUUUCUAGUACGGACAAUCUGGUAUACCUGAGACGCUUCAUACUACCAUGGAGUGGCCUAUGAUUAGCAGUAAUAUAAAGACUGGAGAAGAAAAUGCAGUAGGUUCAUCUGAUCUCAGUUGUUACUUUUUUAGCUUAUGUUGUAGGCUCAAAUAUAACACCCAUUAGCCUGGCCUAAAGACUCGUAGGUUCUUUCGCCGGUUGAUGUGAUAAUGAUCCCAGCAUACAAGUUUCCCACGAUUGCAAACUAAGGAGAGUCGGAUGUAUGCAACCUUACUUCUGCAUACAAAAAUGCUAUUUUCAUAUUUUGAACCUGUUAUACCUAAGUCAUUAUAGAGCAGUCUUACCAUUGUGCCAAUGCCAGCCCUCCAAUUUAUGUGAUAAUGACACUUAAUGUAUAACACCAGGCUAAUGCAAUCUUUUGCAAUUAUCAGUUACUGCACAGAAGUCUGUCAUCCUUAUUUCUUCAAAUUGAUAACUGGUUCCUGACACAAACAAGAAGUGAUGAUUAAAUCCCUAUAUCCUCUUGAGUAUAUUUACAGCAAUGCACUACAGGCUACCAAAGCAAAAUAAUGGGUCAAAAACCUGUGGAGAGGUACAUGUAUUCCAGCAGAUCAGAGAGUAAAAGACCCAGAGUACAAUGACAAAAGGAAAAGAGUUCUUCACCUAACUCUACGCUGAGCCAUUGAAGUUUAGCAACUUCGCAUUUGGCCAACUGAAUCCUGCCAAACUAUGAGGAAGAUGACUGCUGCUUUCAGCAUCAAUUGAAUGCAUGAAUGGCGAAUCACCACUAAUAAUGUCUUCAAGGGAAGAUUUUUACUCAGCUCCUUCUGUUUCAAGCAAAAAAAUGUUCAAUCAAUACCAUGUUAAAUUUAUAUUACGCAUGAUGGUCUGAACAUAGAUAAUAGAGCCAAUGCUCUGGAACCAAAGCUCAUGUGUUAAAGGCUUUGUUGAACAUAUGUUGUUCAACUUGAGGCACCGGGGGCAGCAGAAUGCAAACAUGUUGCAGAAAAUACUUCUUAAUGCCCCAAAAAAUUGAUUUUUUACCAACCAGGAGUUGGCCCAAAGUGGUUGGAAUCUCUCCUCUGUCAGAACUCAGGCGAGGUCACAUGCUUGAAUCAUAUUAAGAUGCAUCAAAAGUAAGAUUUUAAAUCCUGUGGAACAGAACUAUUCUGAUUUUCUCAUGAAAUCAGAUGCACCACCGUCCCACCUCAUCCCGACAUUUAGAACAAUAGAUGUCUCAAGAUAUCCUGAUCAGGACGCUGGGAUGCUGGUAACUGUUCUGAUUUUCUUAUGAAACGAGAUGUACCGCCAUCCCGCUUCAUCCCGACAUUUAGGACAAUGGAUGUCUCAAGACGUCCCGAUCAGAAUGCUGGAAUGCCGGUGAGACGGUUCUAUCCAGAAAUAUGAAAUAUACCCCAUCCCGAUGUCCCAUAAGAUGUUCCAUCAGGAUCUGAAUCCUUGAUAGAUUCGUUGGGUGGAGCAAUUUAAGAUGCUUAUGCCCAAUAUAGGGGCCCUAUAUUUAAACUUUCAAGCUUAAUUUCAUUGAAAAAAAUAAAAUAAAAGAUAAAAUUAUGAAUAAAACAAGAUAAUGUCGAGUGGAGAAAGAUGGAGUGGAGUUACUAGCUGCAAGUGAUGCAUUUUCUGAAUCCAGCUUCUUGCAGUCUACAUCAAAUUGUUCAAGCUCAUGUCCGAAGUGCACUGUUCUCUGUUCAGCAUAUCCACCCUCCUCACCAAACCCUGGCAUUCUUGCCGGUGAAAAAGAACAUACUCAAAUAUAUAUAAUCAAGUCCCAAAUUUUAUUAUAGGUCCCACAGAACCACUAAGCUAGAUACAAAAAUAACAUAAGAAUCAAAGAGCACCAAGCACCACCAUUAAAGAUUGAUUCAACAUUUAAUGAAUAGACGUUUAUUUAUGGCAUUUUCGUGGGUGCAUCCUUCCUCAACAUGGGAGGAGGCUCUGGGUUUGGGUCCUGGUGGUGGGGUCGACAGAGAGAGAGAGAGAGAGAGAGAGAGAGACAAGCACGAAUGCUAAAGCCAGUCUAAAUUGGAAAAAAGAAAAUAAUAAAACAAAAAGGUUGCAUGUGCUAGAAAAUACCAUGGUAAGAGGGAAGGGGGCGAGUCCGAAUCGGACUCUUCUUCCCCGAUGGAAGAAGACCGAUUUCGAGAAGGAAUCAAUCUAAAAAGAUCGCCCCAGACUUAGAUUCUAUGCCUAUUUAUAUCUAUCCCCAUUUUCCUUUCCCAACUCAGUUUCCGAUUCCCCACCGCUGAAUGUCAUUGGACCUUUUUCCCUUCCAAUUUGUUUGACUACUGUCAUUGUGUUUGAUGGAAAAAGCCACUGAAGCAUCACUGGAAUGAGGUAAAAAGCCCCCCAUCUUCUGAUCAACCCUUUUCCCCAUCUUUUUGACUCUUGGAAUUAUGAUUUCUGAUGAGUUAAUUGUCAGAUUGCGGUGGAGAUUUAGAUGCUCUGUUUUUUCUCCCAUGUUUGAUUUGAUUUUUGGCACUGUUUACCACUGCCGGAGUUCUUGGUUACCAUUGUGGUCUGCCCUUCCGGCCACGGCAUUGUUGGCUAGAGGAGACCUCUCCUGCCUCGAGAACAUGGGGAUAAAAGAGACGAAAAAAAAAAAAAAAAAAAAAAAAAAAAAAAANAAAAAAAAAAAAGAAAAGAAAGAAA
rnacentral:lncRNA from 1 species